GUUUGAUCCUGGCUCAGGAUGAACGCUGGCUGUGUGCCUAAUACAUGCAUGUCGAACGAAGUACUUGUACUUAGUGGCAAAUGGGUGAGUAACACGUACCUAACUUGCCUUUUAGAUUGGGACAACCACGGGAAACUGUGGCUAAUACCAAAUAUGUAUAAUUAACAUAUGUUUUUUAUAUGAAAGGAAGCGAUUGCUUUGCUAAAAGAUAGGGGUGCGCUACAUUAGCUUGUUGGUAGGGUAAAAGCCUACCAAGGCUAUGAUGUAUAGUGGGAUCGAGAGGUUGAACCACCACACUGGGAUUGAGAUACGGCCCAGACUCCUACGGGAGGCAGCAGUAGGGAAUAUUCCACAAUGAGCGAAAGCUUGAUGGAGCGACACAGCGUGUAGGAUGAAUGCCUUAGGGUUGUAAACUACUGUUAUAAGAGAAGAAUAGCUAAAAAAGGAAAUGUUUUUAGUCUGACGGUAUCUUAUCAGAAAGCAGUUGCAAACUAUGUGCCAGCAGCAGCGGUAAUACAUAGACUGCAAGCGUUAUCCGGAAUUAUUGGGCGUAAAGCAUUCGUAGGUUGUUUAUUAAGUUUGGUGUUAAAAACAAAAGCUCAACUUUUGUUUGCAUUAAAUACUAAUAGACUAGAGUUAUAAGGAGGUUAAUGGAACUCCAUAUGAAGCGGUGGAAUGCGUAGAUAUGUGGAAGAACACCAAUGGCGAAGGCAAUUAACUGGAUAUACACUGACACUGAGGGAUGAAAGCGUGGGGAGCAAACAGGAUUAGAUACCCUGGUAGUCCACGCUGUAAACGAUGUUUGUUAAUCGGUGGUGAAAUCACUGAUACAGCUAACGCAAUAAACAAACCGCCUGAGUAGUAUGCUCGCAAGAGUGAAACUUAAAGGAAUUGACGGGGAGCCGCACAAGCGGUGGAGCAUGUGGUUUAAUUCGAAGAUACGCGAAGCACCUUACCAACAUUUGACAUCUUUUGCAAAGGCAUAGAGAUAUGCUGGAGGAUAACAAAAAGACAGGUGGUGCAUGGCCGUCGUCAGCUCGUGCCGUGAGGUGUUGGGUUAAGUCCUAUAACGAGCGCAACCCUUUUCUUUAGUUACUAACAUUUAGUUGAGCACUCUAAAGAUACUGCCUAGGUAACUAGGAGGAAGGAGGGGAUGAGGUAGGUCAUCAUGCCUCUUACAUGUUGGGUUACACACGUGCUACAAUGGCAAAUACAAAGAGAAGCAAAAUCGUGAGGUGGAGCAAAUCUGUAAAAUUUGUCUCAGUUCGGAUUGGAGUCUGCAACUCGACUCCAUGAAGUAGGAAUCGCUAGUAAUCCUAGAUCAUCAAUGCUAGGGUGAAUACGUUCUCGGUUCUUGUACACACCGCCCGUCAAACCAUGGGAGUUGGUAAUACCCAAAGCUAGUUAGUUAACCAUUUAUUUGGAGGUAACUAUCUAAGGUAGGAUCAAUGACUGGGGUUAAGUCGUAACAAGGUAACC
rnacentral:rRNA from 1 species